UUGUAAUAUAACAAUUAUUCUUGAGUCCAAUAUGAAGUGGUUCCUUGCUUUAUUUGUUUUUACUUUGCUGGUGGUUAAUAUUUCAGCACAAUACGGUCCCUGGUAUGGAGGGCUAUGUGUAACUGAUGCUGAGUGCUCGCCGCCGUGCACAUGCGAUCAGCAAGAACUACGGUGUUUCUGUAAUUUGUGAGCCAGUACCGAGAAGUUAUCUCAGCUGAAUCCCGCCAGCAUCCGAGGCCCAUGACAGCAUGGCCGACAAAAUAUAGCCAUCAUUGUUCUUCUUGUUAAUAAGAAUGAAAUAAAAACUCAUUCAUUGA
rnacentral:lncRNA from 1 species